ACUACGGGUGGCAGCAGUGAGGAAUAUUGGUCAAUGGACGAGAGUCUGAACCAGCCAAGUAGCGUGAAGGAUGACUGCCCUAUGGGUUGUAAACUUCUUUUAUAAAGGAAUAAAACGAGGCAAGUGUGCCUUUUUGCAUGUACUUUAGGAAUAAGGAGAGGCUAACUCCGUGCCAGCAGCCGCGGUAAUACGGAGGAUCCGAGCGUUAUCCGGAUUUAUUGGGUUUAAAGGGAGCGUAGAUGGGUUGUUAAGUCAGUUGUGACAGUUUGCGGCUCCACCGUAAAAUUGCCAUUGAUACUGGCAGUCUUUCUUACAGUUGCGGUAGGCGGCCUUCGUGGUGUAGCU
rnacentral:rRNA from 1 species